UACGUAGGGUGCAAGCGUUGUUCGGAGUUACUGGGCGUAAAGGGUGUGUAGGCGGUUCUUUAAGUUUGCUGUGAAAUCUCCCGGCUUAACCGGGAGGGUGCGGUGAAUACUGAGGGACUAGAGUACGGGAGAGGAAAGUGGAAUUCCUGGUGUAGCGGUGAAAUGCGUAGAUAUCAGGAGGAACACCGGUGGUGUAGACGGCUUUCUGGACCGUAACUGACGCUGAGACACGAAAGCGUGGGUAGCAAACAGG
rnacentral:rRNA from 1 species